rnacentral:rRNA from 1 species
UACGUAGGGUGCGAGCGUUGUCCGGAAUUAUUGGGCGUAAAGAGCUUGUAGGCGGUUUGUCGCGUCUGCCGUGAAAUUUCGAGGCUCAACCUCGAACUUGCGGUGGGUACGGGCAGACUAGAGUGUGGUAGGGGAGACUGGAAUUCCUGGUGUAGCGGUGAAAUGCGCAGAUAUCAGGAGGAACACCGAUGGCGAAGGCAGGUCUCUGGGCACUACUGACGCUGAGAAGCGAAAGCAUGGGGAGCGAACAGGAUUAGAAC